AAGACCUUGCGCUUUUGGAGCGGCCGAUGCCUGAUUAGCUUGUUGGUAAGGUAAAAGCUUACCAAGGCUUCGAUCAGUAGCUGGUCUGAGAGGACGGCCAGCCACACUGGGACUGAGACACGGCCCAGACUCCUACGGGAGGCAGCAGUGGGGAAUUUUGGACAAUGGGGGCAACCCUGAUCCAGCCAUGCCGCGUGAGUGAAGAAGGCCUUCGGGCUGUAAAGCUCUUUCAGCCGGAACGAAACGGUUACGGUUAAUACCCGUGAUUACUGACGGUACCGGAAGAAGAAGCACCGGCUAACUACGUGCCAGCAGCCGCGGUAAUACGUAGGGUGCGAGCGUUAAUCGGAAUUACUGGGCGUAAAGCGUGCGCAGGUGGUUUUGUAAGUCAGAUGUGAAAGCCCCGGGCUCAACCUGGGAACU
rnacentral:rRNA from 1 species